GGUGCUGUACCGAAGUGCUCAUAACGGCGUGGACUUGAAAUCCAUUGUGUCGAAAGACCCGCAAGUUGGAAUCUUGCCAGCACCGCCA
rnacentral:tRNA from 1 species